AAUGGGCCCCGCGGCCCCAUUAGGUAGGUGGUGAGGUAACAGCUCAAACAAGGGCGACGAUGGGUAGCCGACUUGAGGAGGGUGUCGGCCACAGGGGGACUGAGCCGCGGUCCAGACUCCUACGGGAGGCGGCAGUAAGGAAUAUUGCGCAAUGGGGGAAACCCUGACGCAGCGACGCCGAGUGAGCGAUGAAGGCCUUCGGGUUGUAAAGCUCUGUCUUCCCUGACGAUAAUGACGGUAAGGGAGGAGGAAGCCACGGCUAAUUACGUGCCAGCAGCCGCGGUAAUACGUAGGUGGCGAGUGUUGUCCGGAAUUACUGGGAGUAAAGGGUGCGUAGGCGGCUCUUUAAGUGGGAUGUGAAAUCCCUGGGCUCAACCCAGGAAGUGCAUUCCAAACUGGAGAGCUAGAGUGCAGGAGAGGAAAGCGGAAUUCCCAGUGUAGCGGUGAAAUGAGUAGAGAUUGGGAGGAACACCAGUGGCGAAGGCGGCUUUCUGGACUGUAACUGACGGUGAG
rnacentral:rRNA from 1 species